ensembl:lncRNA
UUUUUUUUUUUUUUUUUUUUUUUAAGGAUAGCUGUAAGGUAUCAAGAAGAUACUAGCAAGAAUAUGUAGGUAGGGACUAGGACGUAGAGCUGCCUGUAGAAAGAAAAAAUCCACCUAAAAUGUCUCAUAGGAAUUGGAAAUUUGAUAUAUCAAGUAACAUGUUCUUCUUCCAAACCCUUUCCUUUUGGUCAUUUAUCCAAGUGAGAAACUUGCCACAAUUUUCCUUUCUUCCUCACUUUAACUUCAAAGUAUUUUAUUUUUCUUCUUAAAACUUUCUCACAUUUCUCUUUUUAAAAUUCAUUCCCAUAGUUAAUGCCAUCGUUCAGGCCCUUCUCAGUCCUUACUUUGAUUAUUGUAAAGAAUAGUCUUUUUGUUAUGAUAGAGAUUUGACUGCCUGUAAUAGAAACCUAACAUAAACCAGUACAGAAAUAAAUGUGUUUCUCUCACUUAAAGAUCUGGGUGUAAAGAAUUUUGGGUUAGUGUGGCCAUCUGGACUCAGGCUAUUUCCAACUUUAUAGUUUUAAAACAUCUUAGCUCUAUAACAUUUAUAUUUCAAGUAGAAGGAUGGAGGAAGUGGGGAAGAAGGGAUAACUUCCUCCCUUUAAAGGCCCUCAUCACUUCCUUUGGCUGAAACUUAGUUAGCUAAAGGGGAUACUGGGAAAUGUGAUCCAUAUCCUAGUUAAAAUUGGGGUUUCUAGGAAUUUCUAUAGUGGCUUAUGAGGUUAAGAACCUGAUAGUUGUCUCUGUGAGGAUGCAGGUUCGAUCCCUGGCCUUGCUCAGUGGGUUAAGGAUCUGGAGUUGUCUCAAGCUGAGACAUAGGUUGCAGAUGUGGCUUGGAUCUGGUGUUGCUGUGUCUACCGUGUAGGCCUACUACUGCAGCUCUCACUUAACCCCUGAGCCUGGAAACUUCCAUAUGCCACAGGUGUGGCUGCAAAAAGAAAAAAUAAAAUAAAAUUGGAGCUUCUAUUAUCAACACCACCACCAUAGCUGUUAGGGGAUAACUAACAGUAUGCCGUAGGAACCUCCUUAGUCCCCUUCUUUCAGUUGAAUUCUUCUCCAGCUAGUUCCAUGCUUCCACUAGAAUAGUUUUUUUUUUUUCAAUAAAAUGGUUUGUUGCUCUAUGUUUAAUCUUUUAAUAGUUUGCAACUGACUUCAAAUUCAUGCACAGGAUGCCUCAAGGUAUCUAAAGAGUUUCAAUGGCAGAGGAAAUCUGCCUUGCCUGUAUCAUGCAGCCAUGGUGUCUUUCGUGACAGGGAUAUUCCUUCUCUACCAUAGUAGGUGGUAUCUCCUAGUCCUUUAAGCCUCAGUGCUUUGUCCUUGGCUGAGAGGUCUCCAGUUGUUCAAAUAGUGUCCUUUCCUGCUCUGUACCUUUGUAGUGGUGAUGUGUAUGAGAUAGUAUAACUAGUGGGUUGGUCACAAUUGAAUUCUUAAAUUCUUGAGUCAGACAGCCAGAGUUUGAAUUUCUGCUUAACCAUCUGCUAGAGUGUGAUUGUACACAAAUCAUGUAACUGUUGAGCUCACUUUAUCCUCUGUAAACUUGGGAUAAUAGUAAUAGUAGUACCUGCUUCAUAAGGUUGUUAGGAUUAAAUGAGCAUAGAAGGAGGAUCUCUGCUUAGUAGAGAAAGCACAAAAAACGACACCUAUUGUUUUAACCUAUCUGUCUGUCUGUCUGUCUAUCUAUCUAUCUAUCUAUAGAUAUAUAUGUUCUUAGUAUACAUAUAUAAUAUAGGCAUGUUUCACAACAUUUCAGCUGGGUAUAAUUUUUAUUGAGUUCCCUGGAUGUUUUCAUAUUAAUUGGUAGGUGAUACAGGAAUUUUAACAUAUUUAAAAUAUGUAUGAUCAUGGAGUUGCCGUCGUGGUGCAGCGGAAAUGAAUCUGACUAGGAACCAUGAGGUUGAGGAUUUGACAUCUGGCCUUGCUCAGUGGGUUAAGGAUCUGGCUUUGCCAUGAGCAGUGGUGUAGGUCACAGACAUGGCUCGGAUCUGGUGUUGCUGUGGUUGUGCAGAAGAUUCUUAAUUUUUUUUUUUUUUUUUCCAUUUUUUGGGCAGCUCUUGCUGCAUAUGGAGGUUCCCAGGCUAGGGGUCUUAUCGGAGCUGUAGCCACCGGCCUACGCCAGAGCCACAGCAACAUGGGAUCCGAGCCACGUCUGCGACCUACACCACAGCUCACGGGCAACGCCGGAUCCUUAACCCACUGAGCAAGGUUAGGGAUCCAACCGGGCACCUCAUGGUUCCUAGUCGGAUUCGUUAAUCACUGUGCACGACAGGAACUCCAAUCUUAAAUGUUUUAUUGUUGUCCUUUGACAAGUAUGAAGAAAAGGUAUCUAUAACGUGACCAGAGAGUUUUAAGAUCCUAAAUGUAAAUAUUGUGUAUAAUUUUUGAAGUAUGAAGGUAGUAAAACUUUAAUUAAACGUUGUAUUGAACAGUUGGAAGAUGUUCAUCAGUUUUUUUAAAUUAAUGAAUUUUAUUGAUGUUCAUCAGUUUUAAGGAAUGUCAUCAAAGUGAUGUAUGUAAAUGUUUCUUCAUCUUUACAUGAUGGUAGAAUUAUAGACUCCCUGUAACUCCCCAAGGAUACCUUUAUCCUCAAUACAAAUUUGAGACCUCUACUGCCAUAGCUCUUCACAAAAUAUUUUGAGGAAGCACCAACCAAUUCUUUUUGCACAAGUGACUUCAGCAAUUGAAUUCACUAGGCAUAGUGUAUUUCCUUAAUAAUCAAAGACAAAAAAAAUUGACACUUGGUUAAACAUUAUAAUGGUUUUAUUUUAGUUUCCAGUUUGUAUGUGUGUGUAUUGUUAUGCAUACAUAUGUAUGUAUUGAUUUUAGUUGACUGAUAAGUUAGUUUUCUUUUGGAAAUUAUGGCUCAUUAAAUAAUUUAUACUUAUGACGAAAGAAUAGUCAGUAGAUCACUAGAGUCUUUUUUAUUUCCACUAUUAAGAAGCGGCACCCCCCCCCCCAGAGGCUUACACUCUGGUUUAUAAAUAUAAGAAAUAUGUGAGAAGAUAACUAACAUAAAAUUGUCAAAUGAGUGCUAUUGACGAGUGUUGAGAGGCUGAGGGUGAUAGGAAAGGGCUCAUUGUAAAUAAUUUAUUUUGAGUUGAAUCUUGAAGGAUUGGGUUAGUUUUUUCCCAAAAUGUAAAUUUAUUAGUUUAUGAAAAAUUUCAAAGCUGCAGCAAAGCUGAAAGAAGUUUACACUGAACACAUAUGCCUACUACUUACACUGUACAGGUAACAUUUUACUAUACCUAUUUUUAUCACAUUAACUCAUCUGUUCAUUUCUCUAUCAUCCAUUUAUCCAUCUUCUUUUUUUUGGGGGGAGGCCUGUGCCUGUGGCAUAUGGAAAUUCCUGGGCCGGGAAUUGAACCCAUGUCACUGCAGUGACCCAAGCCAUUGCAAUGACAACACUGGAUCCUUAACCUGCUGUGCCAUAAGAGAACUCUGUAUCCAUCUUUUUUUGAGGUAUAUUUCAAAGUAAAUCUUUGAUGUCAGUGUACUCCCUCCUGACUAGUUUGGCAUGCAUAUCAUGAGCUAGAAUGCAUUGUUUUUUUUACAUUUUUUCUUUUAAUGUAACAUUUACAUACAAUGAUAUACACAAAUCUUUUUUUUUUUUUUUUGUCUUUUUGGUUUUUCUAGGGCUGCUCCCGCGGCAUAUGGAGGUUCCCAGGCUAGGGGUCUUAUCAGAGCUGUAGCCACGGGCCUACAGAGCCACAACACCGUGGGAUCCGAGCCGAGUCUGCAACCUAUACCACAGCUCACGGCAAUGCCGGAUCGUUAACCCACUGAGCAAGGCCAGGGAUCGAACCCGCCACCUCAUGGUUCCUAGUUGGAUUCGUUAACCACUGCGCCACGACGGGAUAUACACAAAUCUUAAGUUUACAUACAUUCUUGGAAAUUUUACACAUUUCUAUAACCCAAUCCCCAUCAAGGUGUAGUAUAACCCCAUUAUCCUAAAAUGUCCCCUUAUACCCAUUCCCUGUCAAUUCUUGCCCCCACCCUCCCAGACUUAAUCAUUGUCACCUUUGAUUUUUUUUGGUAGACUAAUUUUGCCUAUUUUAGAUCUUCCUGUAAAUAGAUUCAUGUAUUGUGCACUCUAUAAAUGUCUCACUCAGCAUAAUGUUUUUGAUUUACAUUGUUAUGUAUAUCAGAAGUUCCUUUUUUUUGGCUGAGUAAUAUUCUGUUGUGUGAAUAUAAAAAUCUGUCCAUUUGAUUGAUGGAUACCUGAACUAGUUCCAGUUUUUGAUUAUAAUGAACUGUUAUGAAUAUUUCUCUUUUUGUUGAAAAUAUCUUUUCAUUUCUUUUGGGUAAAUACUUAGCUGUUGAAUUUCUGGGUCAUAGGUGGGUAUAUGCUUAAUUUUAUAAGAAGCUUCAAUAUCUUUCCCCAAAGUGGUUGUACCAUUUUAUAUCCCUACUGACAAUGUAUGAGAGUUGCAUUUAUUCUACAGUCUCGUCAAAAUAUGCUGUUUUCAGUCUUAAAUUUUUGCUACUCUGGUGUGUGUGUAUAGUAGUGACUCAUUGUGGUUUCACUUUCUUGAUUUUUCUGAUGAUUGAUGUUGUUGGUCAUUUUUUUCUCUUAUGCUUAUUAGAGGAUGUUCAAAUCAUUUGGCCUUGUCAAAAUUGGAUUAUUAUUCAUUUUAUUUUGCGUUGUUACUUUAUAUGUUAUAGUGCUUAAGUAUGAACUCCUUUCUUCUAUACCAGAUUGUACCUUUACUGAACAGAGAUUCAGUAAAAUUCAGUAAAUUACCUGUGAAAGAUAGUUAAUCUUAUUGAAGUAAAAAUAAUACAGACUUUUAUUAGCACGUUAUGGAUGGUGGGGCAGGUUAAUAAGAAAAUUGUGGGUUUUAAAAUUUUUGAUAUAAUUUCUCAAGUUGAUCUAACUAAUUUCUUUGCUGUCCAUCAGGAGAAUCCAAAACUAUUUGAAUAGAGGAGGAUGAUAUAGAUAAGUAAUCAUUAAAAUAACUAUGAAUUAUUCCUAGGAAGUAAAUGACUAUGAAUAUAUGAAGUGAAUCUAAUAUGAUCCAGGCAUUAGGAGGGUUAAAAAUACAGUUAGUUAAUGGUAAUGAGAUCACUUGUCUUUGGAUUUGAAAAUUUUUGUUUCUAAAAGGCCUUGGUAGAAACCACUAUGUGUUUGUUUCCUUUGCAUGUCUUGUUAUUAUAAUAUGUCUGUAUAUCGAUUCCAGAUAUAAUAAUCUUAGAAUAAGAAAUAAUUUAUUAUUUUAUAAAAUAGUUUAUUUUGUUAUCCUUUAAAAAUUGUUAUGUUUUGGAAUCUUUAAAAAUGUUGAUGCUUUAGAUAAGGUGUAUCUGGUAUUGAUGUAACAUUUUUACCCUGUUAUGGAAAAAAGCAUUUCAUUAGGAUCAAAGAUAUUUGCAGAGUAUUUGAUAUUUUUAAUUGUGCAAAAUGUACAAACAGUGAGAGAUUUCCUAGAGUGAAGACAUUGUGGUUAGUAUACUAAUAAAUUUAAAAAAAGAAAUAUGUACCAAAUUUUUAUAUCCAGAAAAGAUUUUUUUUUUCUUUUUUCUUAGUUAUGGUCUAAGGACAAAAUUUUUGUGUUGGAUGAGAGAAAAACGGGACAUGUUUUUCUUUCAUGUGGCUAUGUACUCAGUAAAAACCAAAGGUUUCAUUACUGAGGAAGAGAGAAGGAUAUACUGGAGGGUAAACUAGCAGCCAGGUUAACUCUAAGUCUAGAGAAGCACUGACUGAGAAAAAUGAUCUCUUUUAUCAUAUUCUUUAGAGGAAAUGGUUAUAAAAUAUUUGGAAUAUAAAUAAGGAAGAAAAAACAAACACAUGGUAGCAAAAGUAGAUAAGUUAAUUUCACAUCUGUGAAGAUAUAUCAUCCCUCAGACAUUCCUUUUUCAUAAACAAAAUAGUAGAGUAACACUGAAAACUAUUAGACUUUCCUAGUUAACUUGCAUCAAUAUUUUAAUGUUUACUUAGUUUGACCACAUUAUUUCCUCUCGUCUUUCAGAUUUAUUGCCAUUUCUAACCAUUCCUGAAUUCUGUGAACAAUGGCAAAUUUUGCUAAGUCUCUUUUCUGGGCCAAAAAUAACCAGUUUGACUAAUUCAAAUUAUAGAAAGGAAACUCUGGCCACAAAAUUAAGAGAAUUGUUGAAGGUCAUACUAAUGGAUGACAGAGCCAUUAACCUAGGUCUCUUCACCCUAUUACUGAGGCAGCUGUGUCAAAAAAAAAAAAAAAAAAAAAAAAA